UUAAGCGACUAAGCGUACACGGUGGAUGCCCUGGCAGUCAGAGGCGAUGAAGGACGUGCUAAUCUGCGAAAAGCGUCGGUAAGGUGAUAUGAACCGUUAUAGCCGGCGAUGUCCGAAUGGGGAAACCCAGUGCAAUUCGUUGCACUAUCGUUAACUGAAUACAUAGGUUAACGAGGCGAACCGGGGGAACUGAAACAUCUAAGUACCCCGAGGAAAAGAAAUCAACCGAGAUUCCCCCAGUAGCGGCGAGCGAACGGGGAGCAGCCCAGAGUCUGAAUCAGCUUGUGUGUUAGUGGAACGGUCUGGAAAGUCCGACGGUACAGGGUGAUAGUCCCGUACACCAAAAUGCACAGGCUGUGAACUCGAAGAGUAGGGCGGGACACGUGGUAUCCUGUCUGAAUAUGGGGGGACCAUCCUCCAAGGCUAAAUACUCCUGACUGACCGAUAGUGAACCAGUACCGUGAGGGAAAGGCGAAAAGAACCCCGGCGAGGGGAGUGAAAAAGAACCUGAAACCGUGUACGUACAAGCAGUGGGAGCACCUUCGGGUGUGACUGCGUACCUUUUGUAUAAUGGGUCAGCGACUUAUAUUCUGUAGCAAGGUUAACCGUAUAGGGGAGCCGCAGGGAAACCGAGUCUUAACUGGGCGUUAAGUUGCAGGGUAUAGACCCGAAACCCGGUGAUCUAGCCAUGGGCAGGUUGAAGGUUGGGUAACACUAACUGGAGGACCGAACCGACUAAUGUUGAAAAAUUAGCGGAUGACUUGUGGCUGGGGGUGAAAGGCCAAUCAAACCGGGAGAUAGCUGGUUCUCCCCGAAAGCUAUUUAGGUAGCGCCUCGUGAAUUCAUCUUCGGGGGUAGAGCACUGUUUCGGCUAGGGGGUCAUCCCGACUUACCAACCCGAUGCAAACUACGAAUACCGAAGAAUGUUAUCACGGGAGACACACGGCGGGUGCUAACGUCCGUCGUGAAGAGGGAAACAACCCAGACCGCCAGCUAAGGUCCCAAAGUCAUGGUUAAGUGGGAAACGAUGUGGGAAGGCACAGACAGCCAGGAUGUUGGCUUAGAAGCAGCCAUCAUUUAAAGAAAGCGUAAUAGCUCACUGGUCGAGUCGGCCUGCGCGGAAGAUGUAACGGGGCUAAACCAUGCACCGAAGCUGCGGCAGCGACACUAUGUGUUGUUGGGUAGGGGAGCGUUCUGUAAGCCUGCGAAGGUGACCUGUGAGGGUUGCUGGAGGUAUCAGAAGUGCGAAUGCUGACAUAAGUAACGAUAAAGCGGGUGAAAAGCCCGCUCGCCGGAAGACCAAGGGUUCCUGUCCAACGUUAAUCGGGGCAGGGUGAGUCGACCCCUAAGGCGAGGCCGAAAGGCGUAGUCGAUGGGAAACAGGUUAAUAUUCCUGUACUUGGUGUUACUGCGAAGGGGGGGACGGAGAAGGCUAUGUUAGCCGGGCGACGGUUGUCCCGGUUUAAGCAUGUAGGCUGGUUAUCCAGGCAAAUCCGGAUAAUCAAGGCUGAGGUGUGAUGACGAGGCACUACGGUGCUGAAGUAACAAAUGCCCUGCUUCCAGGAAAAGCCUCUAAGCAUCAGGUAACAUCAAAUCGUACCCCAAACCGACACAGGUGGUCAGGUAGAGAAUACCAAGGCGCUUGAGAGAACUCGGGUGAAGGAACUAGGCAAAAUGGUGCCGUAACUUCGGGAGAAGGCACGCUGGUGUGUAGGUGAAGUCCCUGCGGAUGGAGCUGAGACCAGUCGAAGAUACCAGCUGGCUGCAACUGUUUAUUAAAAACACAGCACUGUGCAAACACGAAAGUGGACGUAUACGGUGUGACGCCUGCCCGGUGCCGGAAGGUUAAUUGAUGGGGUUAUCCGUAAGGAGAAGCUCUUGAUCGAAGCCCCGGUAAACGGCGGCCGUAACUAUAACGGUCCUAAGGUAGCGAAAUUCCUUGUCGGGUAAGUUCCGACCUGCACGAAUGGCGUAAUGAUGGCCAGGCUGUCUCCACCCGAGACUCAGUGAAAUUGAACUCGCUGUGAAGAUGCAGUGUACCCGCGGCAAGACGGAAAGACCCCGUGAACCUUUACUAUAGCUUGACACUGAACAUUGAGCCUUGAUGUGUAGGAUAGGUGGGAGGCUUUGAAGCGUGGACGCCAGUCUGCGUGGAGCCAACCUUGAAAUACCACCCUUUAAUGUUUGAUGUUCUAACGUUGGCCCCUUACCGGGGUUGCGGACAGUGUCUGGUGGGUAGUUUGACUGGGGCGGUCUCCUCCCAAAGCGUAACGGAGGAGCACGAAGGUUAGCUAAUCCUGGUCGGACAUCAGGAGGUUAGUGCAAUGGCAUAAGCUAGCUUGACUGCGAGCGUGACGGCGCGAGCAGGUGCGAAAGCAGGUCAUAGUGAUCCGGUGGUUCUGAAUGGAAGGGCCAUCGCUCAACGGAUAAAAGGUACUCCGGGGAUAACAGGCUGAUACCGCCCAAGAGUUCAUAUCGACGGCGGUGUUUGGCACCUCGAUGUCGGCUCAUCACAUCCUGGGGCUGAAGUAGGUCCCAAGGGUAUGGCUGUUCGCCAUUUAAAGUGGUACGCGAGCUGGGUUUAGAACGUCGUGAGACAGUUCGGUCCCUAUCUGCCGUGGGCGCUGGAGAAUUGAGGGGGGCUGCUCCUAGUACGAGAGGACCGGAGUGGACGCAUCACUGGUGUUCGGGUUGUCAUGCCAAUGGCACUGCCCGGUAGCUAAAUGCGGAAGAGAUAAGUGCUGAAAGCAUCUAAGCACGAAACUUGCCCCGAGAUGAGUUCUCCCUGAGACUUUAAGUCUCCUGAAGGAACGUUGAAGACGACGACGUUGAUAGGCCGGGUGUGUAAGCGCAGCGAUGCGUUGAGCUAACCGGUACUAAUGAACCGUGAGGCUUAACCUU
rnacentral:rRNA from 1 species